AUUGAACGCUGGCGGCAGGCCUAACACGUGCAAGUCGAACGGCAGCGGGGAGUAGCUUGCUACUCCGCCGGCGAGUGGCGGACGGGUGAGUAAUGCCUGGGGAGCUGCCCAAUCGAGGGGGAUACCAGUUGGAAACGACUGCUAAUACCGCAUACGCCCUGAGGGGGAAAGGUGGGGAUCUUCGGACCUAUCGCGAUUGGAUGCACCCAGGUGGGAUUAGCUAGUUGGUGAGGUAACGGCUCACCAAGGCGACGAUCUCUAGCUGGUCUGAGAGGAUGACCAGCCACACUGGAACUGAGACACGGUCCAGACUCCUACGGGAGGCAGCAGUGGGGAAUAUUGCACAAUGGGGGAAACCCUGAUGCAGCCAUGCCGCGUGUGUGAAGAAGGCCUUCGGGUUGUAAAGCACUUUCAGCGAGGAGGAAAGGGUGGCAGCUAAUACCUGUCAUCUGUGACGCUACUCGCAGAAGAAGCACCGGCUAACUCCGUGCCAGCCGCCGCAGUAA
rnacentral:rRNA from 1 species